rnacentral:rRNA from 1 species
UACGUAGGGUGCGAGCGUUGUCCGGAUUUAUUGGGCGUAAAGAGCUCGUAGGCGGUUUGUCGCGUCGGCCGUGAAAUCUCCACGCUUAACGUGGAGCGUGCGGUCGAUACGGGGCAGACUUGGAGUUCGGUAGGGGAGACUGGAAUUCCUGGUGUAGCGGUGAAAUGACGCAGAUAUCAGGAGGGAACACCGGUGGGCGAAGGCGGGUCUCUGGGCCGAUACUGACGUGGAG